GCGACGGGACGGCUUCCGUCCCCAUCGAACAACUGCCCCCAAUUCCGCAUUCCGAUCCAAACGGCGGCCUCGGCCGCCUCCCGGCCAUCCGCCGUCGUCGCCUCAACGGCGAGGGAGAGAGGGCCCUGGCUCGUCGUCCUCCUCCUCUGAAGGAGAAUUUACUCCCGCCGCCUGUCGCUUGUCUCGCUGAUGCGCCAUCGCGAGCUGACGCCGACGCCCUGCGCCGUCGGGCCGUUCGACAUCCGUUGGCUGCUGCCGAAGCCGCGCCUCACCGACGCCAUGCGCCGUCGCGACGUUCGACAUCCGUUGGUUGCUGCCGAAGCCGUGCCUCACCGGCCCCAAGCGGUCGUGGCCCAGGGCCACCGCGCGGGCAAGGCGCCGCUGCGCACACCAUGUACGUGGUGCCGCCAACGCGACUGAUGCGGGGAUGCAUGAUCUUCUUUGCCAUGGAUGGCCUGGUGCAUCGCUGCGUUCAGUGCCCAGAGCAACGUCUAGAGGCAUUUCCUCUCUUCUGUGAUCUUGGGCGUGGCCUCAUGACCGUCGUCAACGCCGACGCCGAAGUUCACCGCUGAAGUCUGCGUCCCUGCGUCGCUUGGUCGCCAUUGUUUGAGCGUGAAGAUCGUACAUAACCGAUGCCUCCUAUUCUUCCAGCAAUUUUCUCUCCCAUGGAGUUCGCCGGACAUGAGACUGCCAGAGUUGCUGCCCCGAUUCUCGCCGGGGACGGCGAAGUUCAUCUGGCCUAUUCGCUCUCUGCGGAGAGACGUGCGUGAUAACGUGUUAAUAGACAGAUUACGAAAUGAAUCCAAUCAGUAUCAAUUUCA